rnacentral:rRNA from 1 species
GAGUUUGAUCAUGGCUCAGAUUGAACGCUGGCGGCAUGCCUUACACAUGCAAGUCGAACGGCAGCAUGAUCUAGCUUGCUAGAUUGAUGGCGAGUGGCGAACGGGUGAGUAAUACAUCGGAACGUGCCCUGUAGUGGGGGAUAACUAGUCGAAAGAUUAGCUAAUACCGCAUACGACCUGAGGGUGAAAGUGGGGGACCGCAAGGCCUCAUGCUAUAGGAGCGGCCGAUGUCUGAUUAGCUAGUUGGUGGGGUAAAGGCCCACCAAGGCGACGAUCAGUAGCUGGUCUGAGAGGACGAUCAGCCACACUGGGACUGAGACACGGCCCAGACUCCUACGGGAGGCAGCAGUGGGGAAUUUUGGACAAUGGGGGCAACCCUGAUCCAGCAAUGCCGCGUGUGUGAAGAAGGCCUUCGGGUUGUAAAGCACUUUUGUCCGGAAAGAAAUCGCACUUACUAAUAUUAGGUGUGGAUGACGGUACCGGAAGAAUAAGGACCGGCUAACUACGUGCCAGCAGCCGCGGUAAUACGUAGGGUCCAAGCGUUAAUCGGAAUUACUGGGCGUAAAGCGUGCGCAGGCGGUUGUGCAAGACCGAUGUGAAAUCCCCGGGCUUAACCUGGGAAUUGCAUUGGUGACUGCACGGCUAGAGUGCGUCAGAGGGGGGUAGAAUUCCACGUGUAGCAGUGAAAUGCGUAGAGAUGUGGAGGAGUACCGAUGGCGAAGGCAGCCCCCUGGGAUAACACUGACGCUCAUGCACGAAAGCGUGGGGAGCAAACAGGAUUAGAUACCCUGGUAGUCCACGCCCUAAACGAUGUCAACUAGUUGUUGGGGAUUCAUUUCCUUAGUAACGUAGCUAACGCGUGAAGUUGACCGCCUGGGGAGUACGGUCGCAAGAUUAAAACUCAAAGGAAUUGACGGGGACCCGCACAAGCGGUGGAUGAUGUGGAUUAAUUCGAUGCAACGCGAAAAACCUUACCUACCCUUGACAUGCCACUAACGAAGCAGAGAUGCAUUAGGUGCUCGAAAGAGAAAGUGGACACAGGUGCUGCAUGGCUGUCGUCAGCUCGUGUCGUGAGAUGUUGGGUUAAGUCCCGCAACGAGCGCAACCCUUGUCUCUAGUUGCUACGAAGGGGCACUCUAGAGAGACUGCCGGUGACAAACCGGAGGAAGGUGGGGAUGACGUCAAGUCCUCAUGGCCCUUAUGGGUAGGGCUUCACACGUCAUACAAUGGUGCAUACAGAGGGUUGCCAAGCCGCGAGGUGGAGCUAAUCCCAGAAAAUGCAUCGUAGUCCGGAUCGUAGUCUGCAACUCGACUACGUGAAGCUGGAAUCGCUAGUAAUCGCGGAUCAGCAUGCCGCGGUGAAUACGU